CCUACGGGAGGCAGCAGUGGGGAAUAUUGGACAAUGGGGGGAACCCUGAUCCAGCGACGCCGCGUGAGUGAAGAAGUAUUUCGGUAUGUAAAGCUCUAUCAGCAGGGAAGAAAGAAAUGACGGUACCUGACUAAGAAGCCCCGGCUAACUACGUGCCAGCAGCCGCGGUAAUACGUAGGGGGCAAGCGUUAUCCGGAUUUACUGGGUGUAAAGGGAGCGUAGACGGCGAUGCAAGUCUGAAGUGAAAGGCGGGGGCCCAACCCCCGGACUACUUUGGAAACUGUAUGGCUGGAGUGCAGGAGAGGUAAGUGGAAUUCCUAGUGUAGCAGUGAAAUGCAUAGAUAUUAGGAGGAACACCAGUGGCGAAGGCGGCUUACUGGACUGUAACUGACGUUGAGGCUCGAAAGCGUGGGGAGCAAACAGGAUUAGAUACCCGGGUAGUC
rnacentral:rRNA from 1 species